UACGGGGGGGAGCAAGCGUUGUUCGGAUUUACUGGGCGUAAAGGGCGCGUAGGCGGCCACCGCAAGUCGGUUGUGAAAUCUCCGGGCUUAACCCGGAAAGGUCAAUCGAUACUGCGGGGCUAGAGUGCAGAAGGGGCAACUGGAAUUCUCGGUGUAGCGGUGAAAUGCGUAGAUAUUGGGAGGAACACCAGUGGCGAAGGCGGCUCACUGGACCGGAACUGACGCUGAGGCGCGAAAGCGUGGGGAGCAAACAGG
rnacentral:rRNA from 1 species